rnacentral:rRNA from 14 species
AACUCUCAGUAAACGGCGGCUGUAACUCUGACGGUCCUAAGGUAGCGAAAUUCCUUGGCAUUUAAUUGGUGUCCUGCAUGAAUGGCGUAACGACUGUCCUACUGUCUCCAACACAAUCUUAGUGAAAUUGAAAUCUCCGUGAAGAUGCGGAGUACCUGCGGCUAGACGGAAAGACCCCGUGCACCUUUACUAUAGUUAUGUAUUGUAAUAAAUAUUUUUAUGUAUAGAAUAUGUGGGAAGUUGUUAUAAUUUUUUUACGCCAGUAAAUUGAAAAUAACUUAAGUGAAAUACCACUCUUAAAAUUUUUUGUUACUAAUUAUUACAAGACAUUGCAUAAUGGGUAGUUUGACUGGGGCGGUCGCCUCCCAAAUGGUAACGGAGGCGUACAAAGGUUUCCUCUGAACGGGUAGAAAUCGUAUCUAGAGUGUAAAGGCAAAAGGAAGCUUGACUGUGAGACCUACAAGUCGAGCAGGGACGAAAGUCGGUCUUAGUGAUCUGACGGUACUGAGUGGAAAGGCCGUCACUCAACGGAUAAAAGUUACUCUAAGGAUAACAGGCUGAUCU